CAGCUCAGAUUUAACUGUCUGUAGUUCCGUUUUGAUGGAUGUUAAACUUUCACUCAAAGCCGCCAGGAGCUGGGUCUUUAAAAAUAACUACCAUCUCGUUACAGAGUGAAAGAAGCAAUUCCUCCUUAAGGUCAGAGAUUGCAGCAUCUGAGGGCCUCUUCAAAAGAAGACGUAGUUGAUGAAGGCGUUCUGGAGCAGGACCAGAAAGACCACGACCAAGCAGCCUUGAGAUCUUAGGCAGCGUCUCCCUCGGGUUCCUCUCUAUCUCCCCACACAUCCACCAACCACUGGAACACAUCUCCAAAGUUCUGCCGGGCCAGCUCAGCUUCCCCUCAGAAGAAGUGCUGCCACCUGCCAGAUGAAGGAGCCUUUUGAGAGGCAGCUGGCAUCGUGAUUGGACUGUACUUUGGUCUGUUCCAAUCCAGCUUCAGCUCCAGAGACGACAGGCGGGACGAGUCAACGGAGGCCGGGUGGACGAAGGCAUGCAGCUGAGUACAAUCCAGAAAACAACAGAGGAGGAGUGCAGGGCCAGAACAAACAGAGUAGCAUCGUAUGUCUCUUAGAAAACAUCAUAGUACAGCCUUUGGUAUGAAAAAACGGUAUAAUAUACAUCGUAUAUUGUACAAAUAAGUCAAAGGAAAGAGACAUACAUUGUAGAAUUGUAGUAAUUGUGGGCUGACUGAUUUACUGAUUAUCAGUAUUUUAUUUUUUACUGAUUUACGGUAAUAAAUACAUUUAAAAAUGGC